rnacentral:rRNA from 1 species
GGCUCAGGACGAACGCUGGCGGCGUGCCUAACACAUGCAAGCGAGCGAGGAGAUCCUCGGGAUGAUCCUAGCGGCGGACGGGUGAGUAACACGUGGGCAACCUGCCUCAUAGAGAGGAAUAGCCUUCCGAAAGGGAGAUUAAUACCUCAUAACAUUGCAGUUUCGCAUGGAACAGCAAUUAAAGGAGCAAUCCGCUAUGAGAUGGGCCCGCGGCGCAUUAGCUAGUUGGUGAGGUAACGGCUCACCAAGGCGACGAUGCGUAGCCGACCUGAGAGGGUGAUCGGCCACAUUGGGACUGAGACACGGCCCAGACUCCUACGGGAGGCAGCAGUGGGGAAUAUUGCACAAUGGGGGAAACCCUGAUGCCAGCAACGCCGCGUGAGUGAUGACGGCCUUCGGGUUGUAAAGCUCUGUCUUCAGGGACGACUAAUCGACGGUACCUGAGGAGGAAGCCACGGCUAACUACGUGCCAGCCGCCGC